rnacentral:tRNA from 1 species
GAGGGUAUAGCUCAGUGGCAGAGUGCAUGCUUAGCAUGCAUGAAGUGCCGGGUUUAAUUCCCCAGUAACUUCA